AAAUUGACAGCGAGGUUAAUUGUUGAUGUCUGUUUGGCGUAAGCAUCUGUGAGGCGUUUAGUUAACACAACCGGCAGUUUAGUGGAUAUUUGUGGAAUAUUUUUGUAAACAUCGUUGUUAUAAUAAAAGUUUUAUAAUAAAAAUAAAUUAAUACAAAUAAUUUAGCUGUGUUGUAAAGUUUAGUGUUCUUUUAUUGUGUCAAGAUUACAUUAAAAUACAACGAAACUGAGCUUUAUGCAAUAUUAGAAUUAAAUUAAAAUCAAAUGUCUUUUGAUAUUCUUAAAUAGUGAAGACAUUGUUAUUGUUAUCCAGAAAUGUGAUACUGUCUUAAAAACCUGCACUGAUUUAAAGUUAAAAAUUAUAAAGAAAAAUAACAGCGUUUCAUAAGAUUUUGGAAAUAUCUAUAUUGGAUUGGUCAUCCACAACUAAAAUAUUUUUUUAUCAUUAAUUGUGAUAUAUGCAGUUGGCAUUCAUCCAUGAACAUUACAGCAACGCAAGGCACAUACUGAAUAUAUGGAAAACAACAAAAUAGUUUGCUUUUAAGCAAAGGCUUUAAAUUAUAAAUUACAAUUUUGGAUUUUAUUUCGCGAAUUCAAACUCAAGGAAUCCUCAGAGUUUGGAUAUUCGAUCAUCAAUCAAAUUUUCGUUAUAUAGCGAUGCAUUUGGACAUUUGGACGCUGUAGAAUCAAUAUACUGGAAGUAUGACGAUUUCAAUGCCAGGACAUGUUAUUUAUAUAAAUAUUUUGAAAUGUCAGAAAUAAUGAAAUCUUAUGUAUUCCAAAUUACAUUAUAUUGGUAUUUAAAGAAUUGUAAAUUAAAAACGACAAACUUCCGAUAAAUAUACAUGUAUUAAAAUAAUAUAUAAAAACAAUAAUAAACUAUAAUAAACCUUAAUCACCCUAAGUAUGACGCUGUGAUCAAAUCUAUUGGAAUAAUCAGUCACAAAUUAAUGCAGCACGUGCUCUUAACAUAGAAAAGAAGUAAAGUAUUACUACACUAUAUUGUAAUUGUUUGCUGAUACAUUGUGGAAAUGUUUAACUUAAAUAUACAUUAAAUACUAUGUUGAGGUUGGAUUGACGAUCAAAACAUGUAAUGGAUUUUGUACUACGAAAUUGAAAUCACUUUCCAACGUAUCAUUCGUUGUUAUGUUGAAACAUAUUUUUUUAAUGAUCCUGUCCUAUUAUAUUGUCAACUACUGUCUCAAUGAAGUGUUAAAUUAUUGUGGACAUAAUAGUUUACUGGAACAAUACUUAAACGCAACGUAAAACAAAUAACAAUGGAACAACAUUAUCUUCAAAAAAAAUCAAAACGAAAGCAAGUCAUCCAAAGCUAAGUGCAUGUUUUUUAUACUUAUAUAUUUAUUUUUAAUGUGAUGGACUAUAUAAAAUUCAA